UCCCCCGUAGUGUAGUUCGGUUAUCACGCCAGCCUCUCACGUUGGCGACCCGGGUUCGAAUCCCGGCGGGGGAA
rnacentral:tRNA from 1 species